rnacentral:rRNA from 1 species
UGGUUCCGCGCCGACAAUGUAGCGGGGCUCAAGCACACCACCGAAGACGCGGCAGUAUUUUGUACUGGGUAGGAGAGCGUCCCAUGAGGGGCGAAGCGGCCGUGUGAACGCGCCGUGGACUUCAUGGGAGUGAGAAUGCAGACAUGAGUAGCGAGAGACGGGUGAAGAUCCCGUCCGCUGGAUGACCAAGGGUUCCAGGGCCACGUUCAUCGUCCCUGGGUGAGUCGGGUCCUAAGGCGAGGCCGACAGGCGUAGUCGAAUGGACGAACGGGUCGAUAUUCCCGUACCGGCUUUCAGCCGCCAAAACCGAGGCUUGGAGUACUAACCUCCGGGUCCGGGCUUACUGCUCCUUCGGGGGCGGGAUGCCCUGGCCUGUUGGGACCGAUCCUUGUAGUAGGUCAGCGCAGGAGUGACGCAGAAGGGUAGCCGGCCGCGGAGGUGGUCUUCCGUGGUCAAGCACGCAGGGCGUGGGACAGGCAAAUCCGUCCCGCAUGGGUCCGAGGUGCGAUGAUGGGGGCCUUAUGGCCCGAUAUCCGGUGAUCCCGGCUGCCGAGAAAAGCUUCGGCGUCAGGCUCAAAGCCGCCCGUACCCCAAACCGACACUGGUGGUCAGGUAGAGAAUACCAAGGCGAUCGAGCGAAUCCUGGUCAAGGAACUCGGCAAAUCACUCCCGUGCCUUCGGUAUAAGGGAGACCCACUGGGGUGAAGGACCUUGCGUCCGGAGCUUUGGUGGGUGGCACAGACCAGGGGGUAGCGACUGUUUACCAAAAACACAGGUGCAUGCGAAGGCGAAAGCCGCUGUAUAUGCACUGACGCCUGCCCGGUGCCGGAAGGUUAAGAGGAUCCGUCAAUCCCUUCGGGACGAAGCGGUGAAUUCAAGCCCCGGUAAACGGCGGUGGUAACUAUAACCAUCCUAAGGUAGCGAAAUUCCUUGUCGGGUAAGUUCCGACCUGCACGAAUGGCGUAACGACUUCCCCACUGUCUCGACCAGGAGCUCGGCGAAAUUGCAGUACGAGUAAAGAUGCUCGUUAAGCGCAGAAGGACGAAAAGACCCCGGGACCUUUACUAUACCUUGGUAUUGGCGUUAGGCGCGGAUUGUGUAGCAUAGGCGGGAGGCUUCGAAGCGGGUGCGCCAGCAUUCGUGGAGCCGCAAGGUGAAAUACCGCUCUGUUCUCGUUUGACGUCUAACCUCGACAAGUCAUCCUUGUCAGGGACAGUGCCUGGCGGGUAGUUCAACUGGGGCGGUUGCCUCCCAAAGAGUAACGGAGGCGCUCAAAGGUCCGCUCAGCCCGGUUGGCAAUCGGGUGUCGAGUGUAAUCGCACAAGCGGGCUUGACUGCGAGGACGACGGUCCGAGCAGGGACGAAAGUCGGAGAUAGUGAUCCGGUGCCGGCGCACGGGCGCGGCAUCGCUCAACGGAUAAAAGGUACCCCGGGGAUAACAGGCUGAUCAUUCC